GUGUUUGCUUCGGCAGCACAUAUACUAAAAUUAAAAUAGUGCAGAGAAGAUUAGCCCAUGUGAAAAUAUGAUGUGCAAAUUCUUGAAACAUCCCAUAUUUUG
rnacentral:snRNA from 1 species